CGGGUAAGUCUUGUACGGUCAGCUCCCUGACAACUCCCCCAGGGCAGGAAUGCAGCAAGGGCACUCAGGUCGUAGCGACGCGAUGCAAGUCGCUUACCCU
rnacentral:SRP_RNA from 1 species